AGAAGAGGACGGAGGCCCAAAUCAGAAAAAGCCCCAUCUAAUAGAUACAUGAACUCGGAACCGGACCUUUCCCAUUCAAAUUCCAAAUCGUUACUAACAUUUAAUGAGCCGACCUUGAACACCGUGUAACCGUCAGUAUAAAAGGUAACUUUACCAAUUUUGACAGUUUUACCUACCCGUUUGAAAUUCGAGCGCCUUCUGAACUCUCUGACUUUCUGAACUUUCUCUUUUCUUCUGCAACUUGUCAACAAUGGCUUCCCAAAAUUCUGAACAAGGCUCUCCCAUACUGGUAACCCCACUCAUAGUUGUUCCACUAAAUCCUACCACCGCUGCUCAUGAAGGAAC
rnacentral:lncRNA from 1 species